CUGCCAGAAAAACCCAGUCCAGAUGGCUUGAAGGUGCCCUCAUCAGACUCCAUAACGAUAUCAAAAUUGGAGAUAUUUUCCUAAACAUGACCCACAACAUGACUGGUCUGCUGUUCUCAAAUACUUGCUUUCAGACUUCUGAAGUGCCACCUAGAAAGCUGCAGGGAGUUUUGAUAGGAGGAAGCCAACUUUCUUACAACUGAACAUCCCAAUGGACAAAGGACUUGUGGAUGGGUGAAUCUGCCUGAAGCAUGUGCUGGAAGCAGUGAUCCUCAGAAGAUUCUCUAUCAGAAUCUAUACCAGACUCAACUGGCAGCUCUGCUGAGAGAAAGAGAAGAAAGAUGCACAGACAAAGAAGAUUGCAAGAUGCACAUGGAAGGUUUGCUUGAGAGAAAAAAAGAAAGAUGCACAGAGAAAAGUUUUUCUAACACUAGACAUGUAUGAAUUUUAUCUACAUGGAAUGAAGAUUAGAUAUCCGGGAGACACACUGAUUAGAUAUCCGGGA